AGGUCUUUAGGGUCAGAUAAGGUCAUCAGGGUGAACCUGCCAUUAUUAAAUACUAGAGGUAGCUGUGUAAGCAGGAGAGAGACACAUACAUUCUCCAUUACUCUUGGCGUGUAAAGCCCUGAGACACUUUCGAAUUUCACCAGCAAGAAGACCAUCAUCACCAGAUGUAAUUCCUCCAUCUUGGGCCAGAACUAGCAACAAAGGAGUCAGAGACAUUUGUGGAGGACUAGAAUGAAUGUAGAAUUAAAUAAGUGAAAGCUGCAGCAGAAAUCUUUAAGAUGAAUCAUCUUAAUUUUGCAAGGCUUCACCACAUUUUUAACAAGAAAGCUCGAAUUCAAAAGAAGAUAAGUUAUUAAAAUUCUGGCUACAGGAACAUAUGGAGAGAGUCUAGGCAUUUGUAUUUGCACUUGCCUGGAGACGGAGGGAAG